UUGGUAUUACAUUCUGUUUCAGAUAUGUGAUAAAAGGGAAUCAGGUGUGAAUCCUGAACAGACCCGCUGCUGUGUACCUCAUUAAAGUCCGAGGACAAUGACUCUCUCCACUGUUUCAAUUUGAAAUGGGAAGGACGUCCUAGGAUGGGGUAAGUCAGAAGACCUGCCAAUCAAUC
rnacentral:ncRNA from 1 species